rnacentral:tRNA from 3 species
CAGCCCGGUUUGCUGGCUAGAGCGCUUCCCUUACAAGGAAGAUGUCAUCGGUUCGAGUCCGGUUGGGCCCACCA